UACGGGGGGGGCAAGCGUUGUUCGGAAUUACUGGGCGUAAAGGGCUCGUAGGCGGCCAACUAAGUCGGAUGUGAAAUCCCCAAGCUUAACUUGGGAACUGCAUCCGAUACUGGAUGGCUUGAAUCCGGGAGAGGGAUGCAGAAUUCCAGGUGUAGCGGUGAAAUGCGUAGAUAUCUGGAGGAAUACCGGUGGCGAAGGCGGCAUCCUGGACCGGCAUUGACGCUGAGUGAGCGAAAGCCAGGGGAGCAAACGGG
rnacentral:rRNA from 1 species